rnacentral:rRNA from 1 species
UACGUAGGGUGCGAGCGUUGUCCGGAAUUAUUGGGCGUAAAGGGCUCGUAGGCGGUUUGUCGCGUCGGGAGUGAAAACACUGGGCUUAACUCAGUGCUUGCUUCCGAUACGAGCAGACUAGAGGUAUUCAGGGGAGAACGGAAUUCCUGGUGUAGCGGUGAAAUGCGCAGAUAUCAGGAGGAACACCGGUGGCGAAGGCGGUUCUCUGGGAAUGUCCUGACGCUGAGGAGCGAAAGUGUGGGGAGCGAACAGG